rnacentral:lncRNA from 1 species
CCAUUUGACAUAAUCAGCAAAAGACUGAGGGUAUUUCCCUGCUCAAAUGGUGCCUUUUGCAAGUUGGAAGAAAUUGUCCUUUCCAGACAUAUGCAGAAAAAGUAAACAGACUAGACACCCAGGGACUUCAUGGAAAAGAAGAGGGCAAACUGGAUUCAAGAUAAAUACAUCAGAGAUUAUGCUCACCUAGAUAAGUGGAUUUAAUAGCCUUGUAUGACAGAGCAGCUGUCA